AUUGAACGCUGGCGGCAGGCCUAACACAUGCGAGUCGAACGGUAACAGGAAGCAGCUUGCUGCUUUGCUGACGAGUGGCGGACGGGUGAGUAAUGUCUGGGAAACUGCCCGAUGGAGGGGGAUAACUACUGGAAACGGUAGCUAAUACCGCAUAACGUCGCAAGAACAAAGAGGGGGACCUUAGGGCCUCUUGCCAUCGGCUGUGCCCAGAUGGGAUUAGCGAGAAGGUGGGGUAAGGGCACACCUAGGCGAAGAUCCCUAUCUGGUCUGAGAGGAUGACCAGCCACACUGGAGCUGAGAAACGGUCCAGACUCCUACGGGAGGCAGCAGUGGGGAAUAUUGCACAAUGGGCGCAAGCCUGAUGCAGCCAUGCCGCGUGUAUGAAGAAGGCCUUCGGGUUGUAAAGUACUUUCAGCGGGGAGGAAGGGAGUAAAGUUAAUACCUUUGCUCAUUGACGUUACCCGCAGAAGAAGCACCGGCUAACUCCGUG
rnacentral:rRNA from 1 species